rnacentral:lncRNA from 1 species
AUGAAGGAUUCUUCUGAACCCCUACCCUACCCCGUCAAGGUAUGUGUUAUAUUGGCAGGAUAGGGAAUAUGCAUUACAGAAGUACAGGAUUUGACAUUGGGCAUGAAAGAUGGCGCAGCCCUAGGGUGACCACAAGCUAUACACCUCACGGUCUUUUUGAUGAAAGAAGAGACAAGUUGACCCUCUGCCCAUUUUCUUAUGGACCUCACCCUUCACACCAGCAAGGUCAUAGGACUGUGGCCUUGUUCCAAAUCAUCUGGGACAUGUCCUGCUCUCCACUUGCACUGUGUAGGAAACAGAGACUUGUUUGUGUGUCCCCAAUACCCAUAAGGAAGCCAGGCCUUAGGCCCAGGGGAGCAGUGGAGUUCCUGUUGGAAGCAGUGGUGAUAUUGCACUAA